ACUGAGUCCCUUGGCUAGUCCAUCUGCCUUCCUGUUUUAUACUAUGUUCUUUUUCUAAAGAGAAAAUUUCUGCGUGUUGUCUGUGCGUGCCAUGCACUCUAUCAUACCUUUAUCCCUUUUUGUGGUGUUCCUGCUUCCUGGAAUGCCCUCUUUCCACUUCUCCAGUAAAGUUCAGCUCUAAGAUAACUUCUCGUUUGAAGCUUUCCUGAACUCACCUCUAUUAUCCAUUUUUCCAAAGAAGGUAUUUUUCUUCCAGCCUUGCUUCCAUGGCAGUUUGCUUGUACAUGUAUUAGGGCUACAGUUCUAUACUCUUCUAUUCUUACUGCAAUCCUCUGAAGUGGUCAUAAUGCUGUCAUGUCUCAGAUAUAAGAAAACUGACAUUGAAACAAACUUCUUUUUCACAGGGAUCGCAUUUGAACUUAUGUGUGCUUGACUGUUAUUACACUGUGUUCUUUUUUAUUAUGAGAUCUUUCCUUAUAUAAAUUGAUCAAAUAUGCCAUAUCCCCUUCAAUGUGUAGAAUAUAUUCCUCCCCAACCUUGUAUCCCAUGAAAACUGUUAAAAGCAGGUGAGAAUUAAUACUUAAAGUGAACAUAAAAGACAGAAAAAGGAAAUUGAAGGAAAGGAUUUUGUGGGGUCGGGAUGAGAUUAGCAGACAUAUGGCAUGGGACGUAGCAUCAGCAGAACUCCUUGUAGGCAAGACUUACUGGGGUUGCUUUCUAUUCCCUAAGUGAAAACUUACCCCAAGUAAGAUACACUGGUUGAAAAUGAAAAAUACUGCAGUUGACAAAGAGGUAAAAUAUUUUAUAAGUACUUUAACAUGUAGAGAAUUCUAUUCUUGGUUAUGAAGGUGGCAGAAAAGGUUGACUUCCCAGGUCUCACCUACUGCCUGUGGUUUUUAUUCUUCAUUCUCUACAACUUUAGAACCAUGCAUUAUUUGGAAGAUUUGACAAACAAAUCGCAUAUGUAAUUAUAUCACUUCCCACUGAACAUCUGCAGCACUUUCGUUUGGCAACAGGAAGUGCAAGAAAAACCAGGUGGGACAUUGGAUAAGAGGUCAUAAAAACCCCUAAUAAAUCCUCUUACACAGUGACAUUGUUGGAUGAAAUUAUUGCAGAACACUUCCGGGUUGGUUUGGGGAUUUUCAGAACGUUCAGUAUUUUACAGGGAACAAUACAUUUCCUUUUCCCAAGGACAUUUCUGACCAAGGAAGCUGCAGUGACACAUUUUCCGGAGAGGAGAGAAUAGCACACAUUCACAUUCACCAAUAAUCUUAGGAAAGGAAUGAGAUUUGGGGGCAAAUACUGUGUUCUCAACUUGAGGAAUGGUCAUAAAGGGAACGGAAAGGACCCUAUUUCUUCAAAGGAAGCAAAUUAGUUGCAGGCGGCCUCAGACAAGUUGAAGAAACAUCUGGAAAGACCGAUAAUAGACUGACUUCCUGAAAUGUGGGUUUGACUAUGAUGACUUCAGACAGGAAGCUUAUGUUUCUUAUCGUAACAUUGGAAAAAGACAUCAAAUUUCAAAGUAAAACUGAUUAACUUCAUACAGAAUUUAAAUUUUCUAAAAUAGUAUGUUUUAAAAGCUACAGAGGUUUAAAAUUGUUAUAUUCAGCUGUCAAACAGUUAAUAUACUCUUAUUCAUAGAGAAUACUUUAAGAAAAAUACAUGUACUUUUGUCCAUUAAUUCCAAAUAUUAUAAUCUCUUUGAAUUGCAAUAUCCUGGAGGCAAUUUCAAUAGAAAUGACAUUUCAUUCCUCUAAACCAGAAUGUUGAUGUGAAAAAAGUUUUAACUAGGAUAAAGUUGAAAGAGCUACUGUGGAGAAAAAUUAAUAAUCAGCAAAGAAAUUAACCAUUUUUUUUUAACAUGACCGUUAGCCUUUCUAAGACCUCAAGGCAGGGCUCUAAGAGUAAUCCUGGGAGUUCAAAAACAUGUGCAAUAUCUUUUAGAUUUUAUACGCAUGUCAGUAUUGUCCAUGAAUAUAAAUUCAGGGCAUUCUUUCAGGAGACUGGGAAAGUACUCUAGUACCACAUUCCACCAUCCUUCUUCUAUCUUAUUUCCCUCAUUACCAACAAAUUAUAAGGCUCUGUUAAUGUAAAUGGUACCCUGUCUACUUAGGAAAUAUUUUUCUUCUGUGUUUAAAGGAAUGUGUAUAUUUUUAAGUACCUAAACAUGAAUGUUCUUUGGGUCUUCAUGUUGGCCAUCUUUGCCUAUAUGAAAUUGUAAAGCAGCCUUCCUUCCCAUUGAAAGAAUAUGUUUUCUCCUCUUUCUUGUCUUGUCAAGGCGGGUAUGUCCUGGCCUUUGACCAAAAGUGGCAUGUAAUCAGGCAAGUAGCAGCUCUUUACUCAGUUGCUGUUAAUGAGGAAGAGUGCUUCUACAUGAGUGCAGAAAGUGCAGUGUCCAUCUAAAUAAGGCUGUAGAUGCAUGCUUUUGAAUAUUACACAAAGUUCACACAUCAGCUUCUUACCAGUUGAAGGUAUUACAUUUAAAAAACUUAAACCUUGAGUUUUCAAUCACAUGAAGAUAUUGUAUAUUUAUUUUCUACCUAAUAUCCCAUUUGUACGUUAUGUCCAGCCAAGCAAAUGUCCCAGUCUUCCCCUGACAGGCUCUGCUUUUUGCUAUGUGUUGGCCCACAGGGCUUUCUCUCCCUGCAAUGUGCUUUUUCAUUUCUGCAGUUGUUAAAGGCCUUCCCAUCUUUCUAGAAUUCACCAGCUUAGGUGCCUCUAUCUACUUUAAGACAUAUCCAUCACCUCUGCAAUAAUUAGUCUUUGGUCCUUCAGUUAAAGGCUGUUAUUGAGUACAUUUUAAUUCAUUAGGAAGCUGUCCUAUGUCCCGUGGGGGUUUUAAAAGUAAGAGAACACCUGCCCUCCAAAAUUAGAGAAAAUAAGACAUGUAUAACAUAAUCAUACUACAAUGCAGAUUUGUAUUUAAUAUCUGUAUUUUACUGAUCUGAAUGGAAUGAUUUGAAGUUGCACACACACACAUACAUGCAUGUAUGUCAUCUAAGGUUCACCUAAUUAUGGACCUGGAGUGAUUAAAUAGGAAUGUAAUGGUACUGCAUAAGAGAUUUCUUGGCAUUUACCCUUUUGCCCAGUUGGGGAUUGAUUCUUUUAUCUGUUUAGCUCUCAAGUUACUCUUUGGCUCAAAAGGAAAUUAAAAGAAAAUGUUUAUGACAUAUUCUUUAUUACUACAAAAAUAACAGAUAUUUGUUAUAAAAUGAUGUUUAGAUAAUGCAGAAGCUUAUAAUGUAAAAGGUGAAAAUUGUUUUAUUCCCACUCUUACUCUUCAGGGGUAACCAUGUAAAUAGUUUGUAUAUCCCUUUGGACUUUGCACACAAUUCAUAAUUUGUACAGUUGUAAAAUAAAGUAUACACAUAUGAGUAUUUCAAGAUAGCAGAGCUAUGAUUUGAAUGUAGGUGCCUGUCUGACCCCAAAGUCUAUGCUCUUAGUAAUGAACAUAUACUGUUUCAUAAUAUAGUUGUCUUUAAAUUUUCUCUUUAAUAUUUAGGUAGUUCUAAUUCACAAGUAUUAGUUCCAUCAUUCUAAAAACUCUUUGGUACUCUAAAUAAAACUCUGAAAUGUAUUAUUCAAUGAACAAUUUGUGUUUUGGAGAAAUUCAUCUUGUGUUUUCCCUAGUUAUACUCUACAUUUAUAGAUUUAUACUCUACAUUUAUAGAUUAAUAAACCUAUCUUCAAAAGAAAGAUAAUCAAGUCUGCAUACAGCUGGGCCUUUCCCAUGUUCCAGGCCUCUCUCUACAUACGCACACCGUGACACACCCCAACACACACCCUGACUCUCAGUGGUUCUGAUGCUGGAAUCACAGUCAGCAUUCAACAUACUCUGACCUUUGAGUCUUAUCUUCCAUGCUGACUGUAGACAUUGAAUCAAGAGAGGUAGGUUUUGUUUCCCUCUGAUUCUGUCAAGUUCAGAAACACACAUGUGUAACUUCCUUCCCCUUCAGCGAGGGCAGAAGGUAGCAGAAUCCAGCAGAGAAAGCUUUGUUAAAAUUCAGAAUCUCUCAAAACGUGGACCUUGCUCUCCAGGGUGCUCAAUAAUACCUUUAAAUCAUAAUGGAUCUACAACUUGUAGUUAAAAGUUUGUACUUCCAAGUACACUUCGGGUGUCUGUAGACUAGCCAGAGGACUUUAUAUGACUACUGGAAACAUCAUUGCUGUGGUAAAUUAGAGGUCACUUGUUUGGAACUUGAAACACACAAAGCUUUGGACAGAGCCUAUAUCUGGAAUACAUCUGUAAGUUAAGUAUAGGUACAAAUUAGGCACCCAAAUUGAUUAUAUACAAAGAUAUUCAUAGUCAAAGGAAUGCAAGAAAACAUUGAGUUUUGUUUUCAGAUAGCAGAAACAGUAUAUGUACAAGUUCUUGAAUAUUGACUUUUAGAAGGAAUUGAAGAAUUAGAAGGAAUUUCUAGUCCAGUAGUUAGAGAAAAUACCAAAUGACUGGGCUAGUAAAGUAAUAAAGACUGAUAUUUCUGGAGUUCCUCUUAAUGGCUCAGCAGUAAGGAACCCGACUAGUAUCCACAAGGAUGCAGGUUCAGUCCCUGGCCCUGCUCAGUGGGUUAAGGAUCCAGCAUUGCCAUGAGCUGUGGUGUAGGUGCAGAUGCCACUUGGUUCUGGCGUUGCCAUGACUGUGGCAUAGGUCAGCAGCUGCAGCUCUGAUUCCACCUCUGGUCUGGGAACUUCCAUAUACAGUGGGUGUGG
rnacentral:lncRNA from 1 species